AUAGUAAAUGGAGCACAUAUAUAUAGAGCACCAAUCACAUUGCAAGGGAAGUGAUGUAAUCACUUUUCCCUUUAUAAAGGGUGGUUAUCAGGUCCAAUGCCUCAUUAUACAGAGACUUGGCUGUCAGCACUGCACCACUGGAGGGUCUACCACGUGUUCUAAAUUGGUUAGACAUUAUACCCAUUUGAAUUGCCUUCACUCCUGAGUCUGAGUGUCAGGUUCAAGCUGCUGACCGACGAGGUUCCUUAUGCUUGCGAACCAGUUAGAUUCUAUACACAUAUGAAUCUUCCCCAUAUUCGAAUAUCUGAAUGUCAGACUCAAGCUGAUGAUAUAUGAGGUAUGGUCCUCGCUGUAUCAAUCAAGUCCCAUUGAAAUAUUGAAACGUUGUUCAUACAUCUUUGAAUGACCUUUUAUGUGCUGACAAUAUGUUCUGAAAUGAAGAGAUUUUACCCCUGAUGAAGUCUUGGAACAAGACGAAACGCGUUGGGUUAUUUAUCUAUCUAUUAUCUGAUGUUACCUCCGAAUCUACAAUAAGGAGAAGGAGGAAAUCGUAGUGAUAUAUCUACGCUUUUUCCUCAUCACUACAAACUGAUUGUUCAAAUUGUGCGAGAAAUGUAAAUGUAUCAACUCUGUAUACUUAUGAACAUUUGUGUCGGGUUUAUAUGUUGUUUUAAUAAAUUUUUAUGUUAGUA